AUUCACUUAGAUGGCUUUGUAUUUGAGCAAAAAAAAAAGGCUUUGUGUUAUUUCUCAGAACCUUAAACUGGAGUCUCUUUCUCCACCUCUCUCUCUCGCGAACUCACUGUCUCUUUAUCUCCAUCUCUCCUUCAUUAGAUUUUGACCCUUUUGUUGUAGUUGUUGUUAAAUAGUGGAUUUGGGUUUUUAGCUCUCUCUCUCUCUCUUUCUCUCUUUCUCUCUUUCUCUCUUUCUCACGGCUCCACCUCCUAAAACUCGUAAACUUUUCGUGUGUUCUUGUCUUUCCGCGAUCUGAUUCCAAAAUUCCUUCACUUUCCAGAGAAAGAGAUCAAAGAGGAGGGAGCGUGUUCAGAUUGGAGCUAGCGAUUCUUCAGUGGCGGGCUUCAACGUUACCGUCAUCAUCAUGAAAAAAUGGAUCUUCCAGAAACUGGAUUUCAAGUUUCCAUUGUCGUUUUGUGUGUUCACUUCAUAUGCUCAUCUAUUGGAGCUUACAUUGUGAUUAAAGUUCUGAAGCUUAAGCCUUUGAUCGUGGUUGAGCCAGAGGAUCGAUGAAGGAGGAUCCCAAUGUCUUUCAUGUUCUGUAUCAACAUCUGUGUUGGGAAAUGUCAGCCUUAUAGAUACAUCCCUGUUUCUUUCAUACAGACGAUUAAGUCCUUCACUCCAGCUACUACAGUGGCUUGUGUUUAGGAAGUGCUUUGACUGGUGUAUUUGGGCGUCUCUUGUCCCCAUUGUUGGAGGGAUUCUUCUGACCUCUGUAACAGAGCUUAGCUUUAACUUGUUUGGGUUCUGUGCUGCUCUGUUUGGGUGUUUAGCUACUUCCACUAAGACCAUUCUUGUUGUGUACAAAGGGAAACUUGAUAACCAAAGACGUAUUGCUGUCAAGAGGCUUAACAGGAAAGCUUGGCCUGAUUCUUGUCAGUUUCUGGAUGAAGCUAAAGCUGUUGGGCAGUUAAGGAACUAUAGGAUGGGAAGUCUGCUUGGAUGUUGCUAUGAAGGUGAAGAGAGACUUCUUGUUCCUGAGUUUAUGCCUAACAAAACUCUGGCUAAGCAUCUUUUCCACUGGGAGUUGCAACCUAUGAAGUGGUAGCUUUACAUAUUGCUCUGGCUCGUAUUCCUGGUGGUGCUUGCCGUGGAACUGCUAAUAUGAGUGACUUAACUAGGUUGUGGACUAGAUUAUGGUUGUGAUUGUGUGUAUUUUGGCUGGUAAAGCUGCUAGAGCUUAAGUGAUUGUUGUUCCUUCUCUGCCUAAACAGACAUAUUUUUUUUCUUCUCUGCCUAAAGUAAAGUUUGAAGUUCGUCUUUUUUAA